GACGAACGCUGGCGGCGUGCUUAACACAUGCAAGUCGAACGGAAAGGCCCUGCUUUUGUGGGGUGCUCGAGUGGCGAACGGGUGAGUAACACGUGAGUAACCUGCCCUUGACUUUGGGAUAACUUCAGGAAACUGGGGCUAAUACCGGAUAGGAGCUCCUGCUGCAUGGUGGGGGUUGGAAAGUUUCGGCGGUUGGGGAUGGACUCGCGGCUUAUCAGCUUGUUGGUGGGGUAGUGGCUUACCAAGGCUUUGACGGGUAGCCGGCCUGAGAGGGUGACCAGCCACAUUAGGACUGGGAUACGGCCCAGACUCCUACAGGAGGCAGCAGUGGAGAAUAAUGCGCAAUGGGCGGAAGCCUGAUGCAGCAACGCCGCGUGCGAGAUGACGGCCUUCGGGUUGUAAACCGCUUUCGCCUGUGACGAAGCGUGAGUGACGGUAAUGGGUUAAGAAGCACCGGCUAACUACGUG
rnacentral:rRNA from 1 species